rnacentral:rRNA from 1 species
UACGGAGGGAGCUAGCGUUGUUCGGAAUUACUGGGCGUAAAGCGCACGUAGGCGGCUUUGUAAGUUAGAGGUGAAAGCCCGGGGCUCAACUCUGGAACUGCCUUUGAUACUGUCGAUCUGGGAGUAUGGGAAGAGGUGAGUGGAAUUCCGAGUGUAGAGGUGAAAUUCGUAGAUAUCGGAGGAACACCAGUGGCGAAGGCGGCUCACUGGUCC